UCAAUUAUCAUAACAUUUCAGGCAGAAUCUGACCUCUGGACCUGAGAGUCAGUCUGAGCGUUACCAUGACAACUGACCUGGUUGAUCAGCCCGGUUGACGCGGCGACGUUCUCGACCCCCUCCACGCCUGCCUGUGACACUUCAUUGGCCCCGGCAACCGCUGUGUCUCCAACGAUGUUGGCCUGAUCCACGGUCCUGUUGGCCACUGAGACGCAAAGUGGAGGACGAUGUUGCCAUUAACGGCAUCCUGCCUCCACCCGUCCUCUCGGUCUCCUGCUUCCCUCCAUCUCUCUGCACGCUCCCUGUGCUACAUGAGCCACGUGCCUGAGUACUGAGCAGCACUGCAGUACAGCCCAACACACGCACACAGCAAUGACACAGCUUCUUUCUCCCAGUCAACAGAGGGAGCCACCUGAGUGUCACUGUGAAUAUCUGUAUGUGAGCUAUCUCACUAUAGACCGCAUUUGUGAAAGUGUAAUUUAAAUGAUCAAACAGAAGCAGUUCUCCAGGGGAUGCAAAAGGACACGGCUUAGCACUUAACCAGAACAAGAAGGCCAUUUUUUAAAUAAUCCUGAUACAAUCCCGAUCGAAAGCUUGCCUCAAUAGACGAAGAUUGCACGGAUUACAGUGUGUGAAUGCUUUUUCCUAUUAUGAACUAAUGUGCAAAUAUAUGGCUUUAGUCAGGUUUUUUUUUUCCAGAGGAGGAUUUAUGCUUUAGCAGAUGAAAGCUCAGACAUGUCACGGAUUUAAUGAAAAAUCCUAAUAAUGGUGAUAUACUUUUAUGCGUUUGCAGCAAUGUAAAAGAUAUAAUAUAUGCACUGAGACAUUCACAUGUGUGUACACUUACUACAUACACGUAAAAAAGAAAGCUGUGUAUUAUCAAUUUAUGACUACAUAAGUUAUAAUUAAUAAGGGAUGUAAAGGCAAUCACAGGACAAAAAAUCACUGCUCUUUUUUAUGAAAUAGCAGGACUGCUGAAGCACAAAUCCCUUUCUGGAAAACUGACUAAAGUCACAUUUUAAUAUCAGUGCAGAAAAUCAGCACAUAGAAGCUUCUUCUUGCAUAUAAUUGAUGAGAAAGAAAAUCGGAUUUUUGUGAGUUUAUGGUAUUAUUCAUUCAUAAAAACAUGGAAAUUAAAACCGACCCUGAUUACUAGAACAUAGGAAAUGAAUAACCAUGAAAUAAAAACAUAAAACAAAAAAAAAUCCAUCAUAAAACUGUGAAAAAAUAAGCCAUUUUGUGGCAGCUUGUGUUCAGUGACUCGAGGGAUUUUGUUUUAUUUAAUUACAGAGCACGUCCUGCCUGUCUGUCUGUCUAUCCAGGUUUGGCCUGUUUGUGAAAGCGGGCGUGCAGACCUUGAUACUGUGUACCCACAUUCACAUGCUGACAUAUGCACUCUGCUGCAGGCAGUUAACAGUGGUUUAUCGGCGCCAUCAUCGACCCUCCUCACUUCAGUGAUCACAUCCCCUCUCCUGUUCCUCCCCCCUUUGAUCUGCAUGUCCCUUUUCUUUCACCCCUCUUACUUUUCUCUCCACCCUCUCCUUUACCUGAGCUCCUCACCAACCUGUACUCCAGGUUUCAUUUUCCAGUGACAGCCAUCCCUCCACCUCCAUCAUCCCUCCAUCACUACGUGUCAACUGUCUCUCUUUUUCUGCCCCUCCAUCUGUUCAUACAGGAGCCUCGAGACUAGAAGCUCAAAGCUUUUACUGACAUAACAGCCCUCCCUUCUCUCUCUCUGUCUCUCCCCCUCCAUCCCUCCAUCUUUCCCCGGGAUGUGUUGGUGGGGGGGUUGUUUUAAAAGCUGCGGGGGGAGGAAGGUGGUUAGUCAUCAAAGCCGCUCACACUGGCAGGCAAAUCCUGCUGCUGCAACACCACAAACGCGCACGUUCUCGCAUCAACACGAGCAUGGGGUGAGGGUGGAGGGGGGUGAGCAAAUUGCUGCAGUGCUCAAGUGAUCCUUGCCCUGUCUUCCUCACCUCCCUUCCCACUCUUUCAGCUCAGGACAUUGCCUCUUGCACGCAUACCGUUACAUUUUCUUUCCUCUUUCAUUUUCAUCGUCGUGAUUAAGAUUUCCGAGGCUGCUGUGUGACUGCAGACGACGAAGACUUCCACUCCGCUAGCUCCUCACCCUCCCCUCCUAGUUUUACAACGCCCCUCCCCUCUCAGGCGGGCCUAAAAGCCUGGUACUGGAGGUAACCUUGAGAUGUGACGCAUUCGCUGCUGGAGCUAAUUUAAAAGUAGAGGGAACCACAGCGUGACCAUUAAGCAUCUGAAGCAUUUUUAAAAUAGAAAAUCUUUGUCUGUCCUUAUAUACUUGCAUUAUUAAUGUGAAUGUAUACAUUUAUUUUAAAACAUCUGUGAAUACACUUUAAAAAAAUUGCAUGACAGCCCCUUUAAAUGUAGGUCAACUCUAUUCUGUAAAUUAAAAAAGGCAGAUAAACUGGGUCUCUGGGGACUUGAGUCCAUCACUGGACGUCCCUCUGCAUGCUGCUCCACAAACCAACGUGAAUAAAAUAGGACAGGUGAUAAAAGCUUGAGGCAGCACCAUCACAACAUCUCUCUUCUCCUCUUUUAUUCUUUUUUCCCCCAAAACAGACAGACCGGUCCUCUAACAGCUACUGUCCUGCUACCCAAUUACAACUUUUCUCCAUCUCGUUGUCCCCCUCCUCACUCUGUCUAUCUUUCACUCUGUCAGACCCCCACCCUCUGCCCUGCACCAGUCCUGCAGCAGUAUCCUGCCAAUGCUCUCUCCAUCCCCUCCUUUCUUCCUCCUUCUCCUCCUCCUCCUCCUCCUCCCUCUGUUCCUGUCGCUUCUCACAAGUGUCCCAGACAUGGACACCCAUGGGACCCCACCUCAAACGGUGCAAAAACACAUGAUGUAACCACACACACACACACCGAAAAAUGAGUACAUCUACCCCCCAAGCUUACCCACUUUCCUUUUUUAGUACAACUCGGUGCAGCUCCACGAUAUGUUACGUACCUACAUACAUCACCCCUUCCUUGGUCUUGGCUGCUGCCUCCUCCAUGCCAGCUUUGGUCUUCUCUGCGGCGGCCACCACCCCCUCCUUGGCCAUGGAGAACCCCUUCAUGAAUACAUCCAUCUUGGGCGACGAGACAGCUGGGCUCCCCUGCUCCAAACGGGCCUGGCUGGUGCUUACAGUGAGCGAGCAGAAGAGAUGAUGUGAGAGUGUGUGUGUGUCUGAGUGUGAGUGAGUGUGUGUGCCGGUGGCUCCUCCUCCCUUCGGUGCUACAACAGAGGGCUGAGAGGACCGCACAGCAGGGCUAUAGCACGCAGACUGAGAGAAAGAGGGGGGAGGACACAGCCGGUAUGCACAAGAUGGAGAGAAGAGGAGGAGGAGGAGGAGGAGGAGGAUGAGGAGGAGGAGGAGAGACGGCCGGAUGCUGCAGCAUUUUCAAGUCAUGCUGCAACCCCGCGGCUCAGCCACACCUCCACCCGUCAUCCAUCUUUCUCCCGAUGACUCCCACUCAUGCUCAGCGCAGCCUCCGGCUUUCUAUUUGCGUACUUUGAUUGGCAGAUUGCGCUGGACACACCUUUCCAGAUGCUGAGCUUGUGAGCACUGUUACAUAACCAGCAGAGCUUCAGCGCUGGAAGCAAAAAGGAUUUUUUUUCUCACAUCAUAUGCCUUGUGAGAUUGUGUCGUGUAAUCUGUAAUCACACAGCUAAUCUCAAAAAAUAUGAUUCCGUCUUCCUUUUUCUGACGAGAUGUUUACGUACUGUAUCACUAUUUUCUAUGUAUUUAAUUGAACUGAAUUAAAUUAAGAAAGAGAGAGCA